rnacentral:rRNA from 1 species
CAAAUGAAGAGUUUGAUCCUGGCUCAGGAUGAACGCUGGCGGCGUGCCUAAUACAUGCAAGUCGAACGCUGGAGAUCUAGCUUGCUAGAUCGAAGGAGUGGCGAACGGGUGAGUAAUACAUAAGCAACCUACCCACGAAGACUGGGAUAAUCUCUGGAAACGGGGACUAAUACCGGAUAGGU